GGCGGAGGUGUGAUAUGGUGU
rnacentral:miRNA from 1 species